rnacentral:misc_RNA from 1 species
AAAAAAGGAGUUUAGAACUUAACUCCCUUUUCUCCAUUUCGCUUCUAUUGUUUGUUUGUUUGUAACCAAUGGUUGUGUAAAGGCGGUUAGAUGAUACUUCGUCAGAUGAUUGUACAAGGAAGGCGAUAGUUUUAUAGAAAAGAAAGAAUGGAAAAGAAUGAUAAAUAAAAAAAAAGUAAAGUAAAGAAAUUAUCGAUUGGAUCAGGCCCUUUGUGUUUUCUCCUUCAAAAUAGAUCGCUUGCCAAUUAUGCAUGGUUAGGUUCAUGAGGGCCUCUGAAAGAGGCACCCUAAUAUGGGACGGGACGAGCGAUACACGGGCCAUGUAGCUAAGGGGGCUAGGCAGACCACCAAAAGUAACGACCACCAAGAGUCAUCGUCUUUCCUUUCUUCUAUCGUAUCUGUCAAAGACACUGGCGUUUUUUUAGCUAUGCAUCACAC